rnacentral:rRNA from 1 species
CAGCAGCCACGGGAAUACGAAGGGUGCAAGCGUUACUCGGAAUUACUGGGCGUAAAGCGUGCGUAGGCGGUUUGUUAAGUCCGUUGUGAAAGCCCUGGGCUCAACCUGGGAAUUGCAGUGGAUACUGGGUCACUAGAGUGUGGUAGAGGAUAGUGGAAUUUCCGGUGUAGCAGUGAAAUGCGUAGAGAUCGGAAGGAACAUCUGUGGCGAAGGCGACUAUCUGGGCCAACACUGACACUGAGGCACGAAAGCGUGGGGAGCAAACAGGAUUAGAUACCCGCGUAGUCCCUGUCUCUUAUAU